rnacentral:rRNA from 1 species
UACGAAGGGGGCUAGCGUUGCUCGGAAUCACUGGGCGUAAAGCGCACGUAGGCGGCUUGUUAAGUCAGGGGUGAAAUCCUGGAGCUCAACUCCAGAACUGCCUUUGAUACUGGCGAGCUUGAGUUCGAGAGAGGUGAGUGGAACUGCGAGUGUAGAGGUGAAAUUCGUAGAUAUUCGCAAGAACACCAGUGGCGAAGGCGGCUCACUGGCCCGAUACUGACGCUGAGGUGCGAAAGCGUGGGGAGCAAACAGG